GUCGAAAUCCGCUAAGGAGUGUGU
rnacentral:ncRNA from 4 species